CGACUGCGGGCAAUUUUGUAGGUACUAUGCGACACGGAUUAGUUUUAUGGAACUGUUCUGUGGACAGUUCGGUUCUUACCUUUUUGCUCUGUAAUAUCGGCCAUAUUAGCGUGCCCUGGUAACGUAACCUCCGUUCCAACCGUCGAGAGUAGUCCGGCACGAGUGCCAAUCUCGGUCGUGGCACGGUCUCGCAGGGGGCCGAAAAACCAAUGGAAACUAGUUCCAAACCGGUUUCAUCCUGGAACUGGUUCCGUACGCGUCGAGAACUGGCGGCCAUAUUAACCUCGUGUGCCUCAUGGACACCGGAGAUACGUUAAGCCAGGUCCACACCUGGCACCAAGGCGGAGCGUCUAGGCGGCGAACAUGUCUGGACCCGUGCUGCGUAUACAACGAAUUCAAAUCCAGUGUCAAAGUUACCGCGAUUAUUCGCACGCUCGGGAUACAAACCGGCGACACCGGAAGCGAACCAUUUGGUGGGUGCACCAACCACGGCUGUGGCGGGAUCAUGCGAGGAGGAUCGAGCUAUAUGGUGUGCACCGAUUUAAUAAUCACGCGUGAAGCGGGGCGAGUGUAAUUACAAAAACGUGUUCGAACCGUGUACACCGAAUAUAAGUAUUGGGUCGGCAACAUUUAAAUGAAAAUACUAUAAGUCAGAAAGAUUAUAUUUCAGAUUCACGGUUAAAAUAGCUUCGAGUGCAAAGGGUUAACCGAAUGCGGCGUAGCGUCGGGCUGCCUGCUUUCGCUUUCUCUUAAAAACAAGCUGUCCCUAACGGGUCUAAUGAAAAUAUUAAAAAUUA